rnacentral:lncRNA from 1 species
GAUUCUCGGCUGAGUCACAAGCUGGAUCAAAAAAGGUUUUCUACAUAGAAAUGCUAACUUUCCGGCUGAGCCGACCCGUAUCGGCUGAACCAACUUUUGACAAAAAUGCACUGUAACGGCUAGUUUUUGGGGUAGGGAUAUUUAUACCCCCUCAGCCCCUCCUUCAAUGGCAGCUUAUUCUAACAUGAAGAAGACACUCCCAAAGGCCAUUAGAUCUCUCCCCACUCCCUCUCUGUGAGUCCCCUUGAGAAAUCUUGUAAGUUGGGUUGAGAGGGUGAAAGAUUGGGUGAUUGAAAGCAAGAGUGAGCCAUUACCAUCCUUGAGCACUUGUGGACUUCAUCAAGCAAUUAAUGAAGCAUUUGUUACUCUUGGAGGUGAAGCCUCCUAGAUGGCUAGGCGUCACCCUGUGAGCUCCUAAGCUUUGUGGUGAGCUGCAGGAAGUUUGUAAAGGCGUCGAUCUCGCCUCCGCAAGGGAAGAGAUCAAGAUAGUGAAGCGAGGAAAAGGGUUAAAAGAGACUUGGCUCAAGUUCUAUCGAGCCCCUCAACAGAGAGUAGGUGCUUCCGUGGAAGCAGCCGAACUUUGGUACAACAAAUCGACGUGUCUCCACCCUCGGUUUGCUUUGUCUUGAGUUCUUCUAGUUCAUCUCAUUCAUACUCAUGUUCUUGGUUGACUUUUGGGUUCAUAGCCCGAUCUCUUUAUCGAGUGUGAUUUGAGUGUAGGUGUUCCACGGAUCUAUAAAUCUACAUCAUUUAGAAGUCGUGGUAACUCGUAGAUACAAGUUUAUUUCAUCGGUUACUUUUUGUGUUUAAUUCAAAUCAAUAUCCUAGGGCCGGUCGAGCUAGUGUAAACUGGCUGAGCUGGUAUUGACCCCGGCUGAAUUGAGAUUUACUGGCUGAGCCAAGAUGGAAGUUUUAAUCUGCUGCUUUGAGUUAUUUUUUCAGGAUCGCCUAUUCACUCCCCCUUUAGGCAACAUCUAGGGACCUUUCAGAAAGAGCCUAGGUCGAUCAUCCUAGUGAAGCCCAAGC